UAACCACACUGCCGGUGUCCAGGAGGGCCUGCGUGUCCCUGCUCAUUACCCGCGCCAGGAUGGU
ensembl:miRNA gmo-mir-11237 gmo-mir-11237